AUUGAACGCUGGCGGCAUGCCUUACACAUGCAAGUCGAACGGUAACGGGCCUUCGGGUGCCGACGAGUGGCGAACGGGUGAGUAAUGUAUCGGAACGUACCUUUCAGUGGGGGAUAACGUAGCGAAAGUUACGCUAAUACCGCAUAUUCUGUGAGCAGGAAAGCAGGGGAUCGCAAGACCUUGCGCUGAUUGAGCGGCCGAUAUCAGAUUAGCUAGUUGGUGAGGUAAAGGCUGGCCAAGGCGACGAUCUGUAGCGGGUCUGAGAGGAUGUUCCGCCACGCGUGCACUGAUACACGACCCAGACUCCUACGGGAGGCAGCAGUGGGGAAUUUUCGACAAUGGGGGCAACCCUGAUCCAGCCAUGCCGCGUGAGUGAAGAAGGCCUUCGGGUUGUAAAGCUCUUUCGGCCGGGAAGAAAUCGUAUCAGCUAAUACCUGGUGCGGAUGACGGUACCGGCAUAAGAAGCACCGGCUAACUACGUGCCAGCAGCCGCGUUAAUAC
rnacentral:rRNA from 1 species